GACAGAGGGGGCAAGCGUUGCUCGGAAUUACUGGGCGUAAAGGGCCAGUAGGCGGCCAACUAAGUCGGACGUGAAAUCCCCAGGCUCAACCUGGGAACUGCGUCCGAUACUGGAUGGCUUGAAUUCGGGAGAGGGAUGCAGAAUUCCAGGUGUAGCGGUGAAAUGCGCAGAUAUCAGGAGGAACACCGGUGGCGAAGGCGGGUCUCUGGGCCGAUGACUGACGCUGAGGAGCGAAAGCGUGGGGAGCGAACAGG
rnacentral:rRNA from 1 species